rnacentral:rRNA from 1 species
UACGGGGGGGGCAAGCGUUGUUCGGAAUUACUGGGCGUAAAGGGCUCGUAGGUGGCCAACUAAGUCAGACGUGAAAUCCCUCGGCUUAACCGGGGAACUGCGUCUGAUACUGGAUGGCUUGAGUUCGGGAGAGGGAUGCGGAAUUCCAGGUGUAGCGGUGAAAUGCGUAGAUAUCUGGAGGAACACCGGUGGCGAAGGCGGCAUCCUGGACCGACACUGACACUGAGGAGCGAAAGCUAGGGGAGCGAACAGG